rnacentral:rRNA from 1 species
CCCUAUGGGGUGCACCAGGCAAUCGAUCAAUAAGAACCGAUCGCGGUGUAUGGCGACUAUGAUGUGGAUGGGGUCACAGCUACCGUUCUAAUGGUGCAGGUGCUGAGAAAAUUUGGCGCAUCGGUUGUCCCGCAUAUCCCCAACCGAUUUGAAGAGGGCUAUGGAUUGAACAUGCAAUCCAUCGACCCGCUGGCGCAGAGCGGAACCAAGGUGAUUCUCACUGUCGAUUGCGGCAUCCGUUCGCCGCGUGAAGCGGAAUAUGCAAAGAAAGUAGGGGUUGAUCUCAUCAUCAGCGACCACCACUUUCCGCAGGAUGUAUUACCAGAUGCCCUUGCAGUCAUCUGUCCCAAACAAGCAGGAGAUGCCUACCCGUUCAAGGAAUUGGCGGGGGGGC